UUAAUCUAAACCAGAUGGCAAGUCCCAAUGAGAACUGAUCCAGUGAAUUAAUGGAGUUUGUAUGUCCUACAGCCAAGAUGGGUCAGAAAAAUUAUCCAACCACUGUCUCCAGAUUUCAUGGGGUGACAUCCGGGUCCAUGAAAUUGAAAGUUGGCUUAUAUGAUGGAAAUUCUUCCUUCUCAACCCUGCAGCUCACCAUGUCCCCUGAAAAUCAGCUCCAAAGGAUCCCCAUACUAUUUCCCUGUAGUAUUUUAAAUUAUAAUGUUGUACAUUUAACCUUGAGUUUCUACUCUGUGCUUUUCAAUAUUUGGGCUCUUGACAAUCCACAAGUGCAUUGUAUUACAGAAUUGCUUUUUUAAAAUUACCCUUAUAAUCAUGGCUUUUCUAAUUCAAAUUCAAUAGCUUCUAUCUUACACAUAUUUACUGAGGAGUAUAUCCCAUUAUGGGCAGCCCAAAUAAUUGUGCUGUAACAGUGUAAAGUGCUUGAAGUUUUUGUGAGGCAAACUCAUCUGGCAUUUAAAUCUUAAAAUUAAAUACAGU
rnacentral:lncRNA from 11 species